UGGCGAACGGGUGAGUAACACGUGGGUGAUCUGCCCUGCACUUUGGGAUAAGCCUGGGAAACUGGGUCUAAUACCAGAUAGGACCAUGCUUUGGGUGGUGUGGUGGAAAGUUUUUUCGGUGUUGGAUGAGCUUGCGGCCUAUCAGCUUGUUGGUGGGGUAAUGGCCUACCAAGGCGUCGACGGGUAGCCGGCCUGAGAGGGUGUACGGCCACAUUGGGACUGAGAUACGGCCCAG
rnacentral:rRNA from 1 species